UACAGAGGUCUCAAGCGUUGUUCGGAUUCAUUGGGCGUAAAGGGUGCGUAGGCGGUAGGGUAAGUCUGGUGUGAAAUCCUGGAGCUUAACUUCAGAAAUGCACUGGAUACUGCCCUGCUAGAGGACUGGAGAGGAGACUGGAAUUCAUGGUGUAGCAGUGAAAUGCGUAGAGAUCAUGAGGAAGACCAGUGGCGAAGGCGGGUCUCUGGACAGUUCCUGACACUGAGACACGAAGGCCAGGGGAGCAAACGGG
rnacentral:rRNA from 1 species